AUUGAACGCUGGCGGCAUGCCUCACACAUGCAAGUCGAACGGUAACAGGUCUUCGGAUGCUGACGAGUGGCGAACGGGUGAGUAAUACAUCGGAACGUGCCUAGUAGUGGGGGAUAACUACUCGAAAGAGUGGCUAAUACCGCAUGAGAUCUACGGAUGAAAGCAGGGGAUCGCAAGACCUUGUGCUACUAGAGCGGCCGAUGGCAGAUUAGGUAGUUGGUGGGAUAAAAGCUUACCAAGCCGACGAUCUGUAGCUGGUCUGAGAGGACGAUCAGCCACACUGGGACUGAGACACGGCCCAGACUCCUACGGGAGGCAGCAGUGGGGAAUUUUGGACAAUGGGCGCAAGCCUGAUCCAGCAAUGCCGCGUGCAGGAUGAAGGCCUUCGGGUUGUAAACUGCUUUUGUACGGAACGAAAAGCCCUGGAUUAAUACCCUGGGGUCAUGACGGUACCGUAAGAAUAAGCACCGGCUAACUACGUGCCAGCCGCCGCAGUAAAAC
rnacentral:rRNA from 1 species